rnacentral:rRNA from 1 species
UGACCUACGGGACGCAGCAGUGAGGAAUAUUGGUCAAUGGCCGAGAGGCUGAACCAGCCAAGUCGCGUGAGGGAAGAAUGUCCUAAGGAUUGUAAACCUCUUUUGUCGGGGAGCAAAAAGGCUCUGCGGAGUCGUAUUGAGAGUACCCGAAGAAAAAGCAUCGGCUAACCCCGUGCCAGCAGCCGCGGUAAUACGGAGGAUGCGAGCGUUAUCCGGAUUUAUUGGGUUUAAAGGGUGCGCAGGCGGCCUGUUAAGUCAGCGGUAAAAGCCCGGGGCUCAACCCCGGCGAGCCGUUGAAACUGGCG